rnacentral:rRNA from 1 species
UACGUAGGGGGCAAGCGUUGUCCGGAUUUAUUGGGCGUAAAGAGCGUGUAGGCGGCCUGGCAAGUCCGCUGUGAAAACUCGAGGCUUAACCUCGAGACGUCGGUGGAAACUGCCUGGCUGGAGUCCGGAAGAGGAGAGUGGAAUUCCUGGUGUAGCGGUGAAAUGCGCAGAUAUCAGGAGGAACACCGGUGGCGAAGGCAGGUCUCUGGGCCAUUACUGACACUGAGAAGCGAAAGCAUGGGGAGCGAACAGG